AAGAUCACUUCGUUCCAACUCCUGCUGCCAAGAGAAGGGACACCUUCCACUGGGCCAGAUUGUUCAGACUCCCAUCCCACCUGGCCUUGAACACUUCCAGAGAUGGGGAAUCCACAGCUUCUCUGGGAAACUUCUUCCAGUGCCUCACCACCUUCUGAGUAAAGCUGAACCAUUUAUCCAUGAGUGAUAAGCUUUAAAAGAAAGUCUCUCGACAGUAGAACUGGACAUCCUAGAAAUGCAAUAGGACCUUCAGAUGUCUUAGUGUCUGGCUGCUGCUGGAAAACAUUUUUUCAGCCAAAACACUGCAGUUUGUAGUAUGCAUGAUUUUAAUGUGAACACUCAGCAGUAAUCUCAUAUCCUUUCUGUUGGACAGUUUUGCUUUGGGUCAUCAAGUUCUGAAUGUUGCUGAGUUUUAUAGGGAUGUUUUCUCAGUCUUUAAAAUGAAUAAAAUGAGUCCUUUAAAACCCAA